ensembl:lncRNA
CCAGCCAGACAGCCAAGGCAGGCAGGCCAAGGCCAUGACUCCAACCAGCCAGCUGAGGCAGACAGGCCGGGGCCAUGACUCCAGCCAGCCAGCUAAGGCACUCAGGCAGGAGCUGCAACUCCAGUCAGCCAGUCAAGGCAGGCAGGCAGGGGCCAUGACUCCAACUGGUCAGCCCAGGCAGGCAGGCAGGUAGGGGCCAUGACUCCAGCUAGUCAGCUAAGGCAGGCAGACAGGAGCUGCAAGUCCAUUCA